CCAGAGAAUUUAGCAGAGAUGCUUUAGUGCCUUCGGGAACUCUGAGACAGGUGCUGCAUGGCUGUCGUCAGCUCGUGUUGUGAAAUGUUGGGUUAAGUCCCGCAACGAGCGCAACCCUUUAUCCUUUGUUGCCAGCACGUAAUGGUGGGAACUCAAAGGAGACUGCCGGUGAUAAACCGGAGGAAGGUGGGGAUGACGUCAAGUCAUCAUGGCCCUUACGAGUAGGGCUACACACGUGCUACAAUGGCGCAUACAAAGAGAAGCGACCUCGCGAGAGCAAGCGGACCUCAUAAAGUGCGUCGUAGUCCGGAUUGGAGUCUGCAGCUCGACUCCAUGAAGUCGGAAUCGCUAGUAAUCGUAAAUCAGAAUGUUACGGUGAAUACGUUCCCGGGCCUUGUACACACCGCCCGUCACACCAUGGGAGUGGGUUGCAAAAGAAGUAGAUAGCUUAACCUUCGGGAGGGCGUUUACCACUUUGUGAUUCAUGACUGGGGUGAAGUCGUAACAAGGUAGGCGUAGUGCU
rnacentral:rRNA from 1 species